GUCCAAGAUACGGCGGACCAGAGCCAGAUGCCUGCCAAGGCAACGGCUGCAGCCGGCCGGCGGCGGGUCGUCAGAACUGCCAGGCCGGCUGC
rnacentral:sRNA from 1 species